GUUAGAAUACCGGCCUGUCACGCCGGGGGUCGCGGGUUCGAGUCCCGUCCGCUGCG
rnacentral:tRNA from 1 species